CUCAGGCGAUCCGCCUGCCUUGGCUUCCCGAAAUGCUGGGAUUACAGGCAUGAACCACCACACCCAGUUGCCUUGCUUAUUUAGAUCGAUAGGAGAAUUGAGUUCCUUGUGAUUGUGGGACUGAGAUCUCCAUGACCUUGAUGGCUGUUAUCAGAGGGCUGUUCUCAGCUUCUAAAGGCCAUCACAUUCCUUAUCUUCUGGCUCCUUCCCCCAUGUUUAAAGCCAGCAACGAGUCGACUUCCUUUCAUGCUUUGAAUCUUUCCUCCUUUAGCCUUCUCUCUGAUCCAGCUGGAAAGAUUCUCCACUUUUAAGAACUCAUGUGGUUAGGUUGAGCCUGCUUAGAUAAUCCAAGAUGAUCUUCAUCUCAAGAUCCUUAACCAUAAUCACAUCUGCAAAAUUUCUUUUGUCACGCUGGAUCAGGAAGCUGUUUCUGGUCUAGAAAUGAAGUGUUGUCAUGUUCACAUCCAGCCAGCUUGGGGUCUGAAGGGAAGUGUACAAUCUGUGAGAAGACUGUGUGCUACUCUGCAAAUUGCAGAUAAUUACUCUGAACAGAGAAGUCCUUUGAAGUUGCUGCAUGAGAGGGCCACCAUCCUCCAGACCCCAGAAUGGUAGAUCCACUGGCAGCUUGCACCAUGUGCCUGCAAAAGCUGCAGGCACUCAAAGCUAGACCUUGAGAGCAGCUGCUGGGGCUGAAUCCUGCAAAGCCACAGGGCUGGAGCUGCCAAGGCCUUGGGAGCCCACACACUGCGUCACUGUGUCCCAGAUUGGAGUCAGA
rnacentral:lncRNA from 1 species